AUACGGAGGAUCCGAGCGUUAUCCGGAUUUAUUGGGUUUAAAGGGUGCGCAGGCGGCCAUUUAAGUCAGCGGUUAAAUCGUGGGGCUCAACCCCAUUCUGCCGUUGAUACUGGGUGGCUUGAUUGCGGUCGAGGUUGGCGGAAUUCGUUGUGUAGCGGUGAAAUGCAUAGAUAUGACGAAGAACACCGAUUGCGUAGGCAGCUGACCAGACCGCAAAUGACGCUCAUGCACGAAAGUGCGGGGAUAGAACAGGAUUAGAUACCCUGGUAGUCCGCACAGUAAACGAUGAAUACUUGUUUUCGGCGAUAUAAUGUCGGAGGCAAAGCGAAAGCGAUAAGUAUUCCACCUGGGGAGUACGCCGGCAACGGUGAAACUCAAAUGAAUUGACGGGG
rnacentral:rRNA from 1 species